rnacentral:rRNA from 1 species
AGCUCCAAUAGGAUAUAUCAAUGCUGUUGCAGUUAAAAAGCUCGUAGUUGAAUUUCUGGGAGGUUUUGAUGGUUUCUGAUUUUGAAUGGAAAUUUGAUUUCAUGAAGCCCGCCUUUCAUCCUGUGGAAUUUCUGUUUGUUUGCUUGUUCACUCAAGUGAAUGAAUGGCCCACUCUGUCACUGAGAGCAAAUUGGAGUGCUCAAAGCAGGCUUUAUAGCUUUGAACAAAUUAGCUUGGAAUGACAAGAUAAGACUUUUGGUUUUAUUUUGUUGGUUAUGAAACUUUAGUAAUGAUUAACAGGAACAGUUGCGGGGGGGUACUCGUAUUGAAAGGUCAGAGGUGAAAUUCUUGGAUUCUUUCAAGACGAACAGCUGCGAAAGCAUUUACCAAGGAUGUUUUCA